rnacentral:lncRNA from 10 species
CUGCUCCACGAAGCAAGAACUGAGGCAGCUUUGGAAAGGAUGCACUUUCAGGACAGCUCACUCACACAGGCGUUGUGGUAAAGCUGCAUGCCAGCUGGGAGCUCAGCCAGGGAUGUCGGCCAGGGGCCUUAUUUCCUCCGCACAUGAGCCUAUCCAUGGGCUACGUGGGCUUCCUCACAGCAGGCCAUGCUGACUGGAUUCCAAAAGCAAGCACCUCAAAAGGACGAGUUUGUAAGCUGUGUCACCAUUUAUGUCCCAGCCUCAGAGGUCACACAGCAUCUCUCCCACCAUAAUCACGAGCCCACCUACAUGCAAGGGGAAGGAAUAUAGACCCCAUCUCUUAUUGGGAAGAGUGUCAACAUUACAUCGCAAGAAGAGCAGGUUACAGCCAUUUUUGGAGAAUACAACCAGCCACGGUUAGGCCCGGAGAUCAACAAGGACACCCAAGCAACAGACUCAGCUACUGCUUCAUGGAGCAAACAGAAUGAAUUCUUCCCAAACCAGCUGAAUUCUUCCCAAAUUGCAGAGCCCAUUCUCUGGUCUGUUCUGAAGACCUCACGAGUAAAGACAGGUUUCCAGAGGAAGAACAAAUUCUCAAGACUGUAACAUGGAAAGCGUGCCUGAGUUUCUAAAGGCUGCCCUGCAGAAUUCAGACUCAAGACUGUUGUAAGAUCAGUAUUUACCUGAAUUUACAGCAUGCUACAGAUUUUGUACUUGUCAGACCCCAAAAUCAUGAGUCCAUUCCUUAAAAAAAUAAAAUGUCAUUGUGUUCUUGUCACUGCUGUUAUUGCCUUAUACAAAUCUAGUCAAUGACUGAAGAUAUUCAUUCAGUCAUUUCAGAAUAGAUAUGUGUAUUAUGUAUGUACACAUUAUAUAUGAGACACCUGUGUAUAUAUCAUAUAAAUUAUAUAUAUGAUAUAUGCACAUUAUAUACAUAUAAACAUGUAACAUUAAGUACCUACUAUGUGCCAGGCAGUGUGUUAGGAGCUAGAAGGUGGAAUAGAGUGAUAAAAUAGACGCAUAUUAUAUAAAGAUCACACAAAUAAAAGUAAAGUUGCAUUUGCGAUCAGUGCAAUGAAGGAAGGGUUUGAUGUGAUAGAGAAUGCAACCAGGGGCACCACCUCAGGGGUGGGAUAUGGAGGAAAGAGGGGAAUCAGGGAGCAUCCUUCUAAGUGAAAUCAGGAGGAUGAGUCAUUUCUCUGGUAUUAAUUACUAGGCAAUUGCCAAUUAACUACUAGUCAAUUGCCACAUGAUCAGGCUUCCUAUCAGCCCAAGAAAAUAGAAGAACAAAUUCCCUGAAAAGCCAAAGGGAAGAAAGAGCCAGCAUUGUAAUGAAGAACUCAGAUGAGAGACAGGAUCCUAAAGUUGAAGUGGCUCUUUAAGGUCAUCUAUUCUAUCCCUCCAGCAGCUGCUCCCAUCCUUUCUACUUCUGGCAAAGUGACCCAAGGCUGUGUUUGAGCCCAAUCCAACUUGGGCAUGUUUCACUCUUGGAAAGCUCUUUCUUAACUGAGCUGAGCUCUGUCUUCCUGUAACAUCCAUUCCACUCAUCUGUCCUGGUGCAAACAUUUGGGACUAUGUCAAGACCGUGUCUCCUUUGCAAACAGUCUCUGGCACGUAGUAAAGACUCAAAAAGAAGGUGUUGAAUUAAUGAGUGAGGGAAGGAAGCACUAAAUCAAUUCAGAAUAAGAUCAAAGGAAGGUUUUCUGGAUGAAAUUCUUAACAUACAAAUUAAACUAAUAAAAGCAAUAGGGAAAAUUCUCUGAAUAUUUUUUCAUCUAAAUUGAUUUUGGAGUUUACUUGCCUGAAGGCAAGGAGAUAAACCAAACCCUUCAAAGUCUUGUCAGCCUCAGAAUUCUAGUCCUUUGAAUUAUAAAACCAUUUUCUCAAGCACUCACACAUUUCUUUCAGCACAUCUCAUAAGGACAAUAAUGCUGGACCUACACCAAAGGUCAGUAGAAUAAAUAUUCACAGAAUAGACUCUGAGUGGAGAGAUCCAAAGUCAGGAAACCGUUCAAUCAUUUAACCUGCCCUGUGUCUACUAUAAAUCAGGUUUCCAAAUGAAUCCUUCCUCCCUUGGUUAUUUUGCUUGAAUAACAAACAUUGCUAAGUAGAAAUAAUAUUUAUAAGUGAACCAUGAUUCCGAAUUCAUAUAUAUAUAUAUAUAUAUAACUCUUUCCCUCUUUCCACCAACAACUUUGACUAAAAGGGUCAUUGCUAUAGGUACCGUGAGCUAGCCAGUGGCAAAAGUACUGCAUUCUCAGCAUAAUAAAGGGGGGAGAAAACAAGAGAUGCGAAGAGAGGGACAUGCGGUGAGAGAGAGAAUUCAAGUGAAAAAUUAAUUUUUUAAGCACAGUUAGAAGUUAAUUGAUGACUCUUGAAGGUAAUUAGCAUCUCAUUUGGAGCACUGAGAAAAUGGUUAGAUGCCAGAGCUGCCUGUCUGAGGUCCAGCCAGGGAAACAGAAACCCCACCAGUUAUAUCUAACAGAGAGAAUUUGAUAUAGGGAAUUGGUUAAGCAGAAAGUAUGCAGAAUAAACAUGUGGGUUUCUCAGAAGACCAGAUGAGGAACCCACAAAUGCAAGGUUGUCUAGAGUCAUCCAAAAAUGAAUACUGCCCAAUAGUACCAUUUGGAGGGUCCUCAGGCACCAGGGAAGCCCAGAGGCUGAAGGGAGUCAAAAGCAGCUGGAUUGCAGGGAGAAAUCUUAGAUGGGAACCACAAAGGGUUAACUCAAUCCAGAGGACACCAACCUGAGCCAGUUUCAACCUUUCUAGUCUCAUUAAACUGUGCCUUGUCACACUCUUGACCUGGAGGUAUUGAAGGCAGCAGCCAAGCAUUGGGGGCAGAUGCAGCAAGGAGAGGUAAGAUAAGCCAAUCAACCAGCCACAUCACCCAGCUGCAGGCUGGUGGCAGAUAUGGAGGAAGAUGGGACAGGAAGAAGGUUGAAGUGACAUUAUUAUUAGACUGAGUAAACUUCUCAUUAUCUAAGAUGUGCCAGCUCAAGAUUCAUCCAGGAACAAAAAAAAUGACAAAAUGAACCCAGAAAGGGAGUUGAAUUGGGAAUACUUAUAAUUCAUAAAACUGCUCUAUAAGUUCCCCCUUCUAAAUCAAGCUCAUUCAAUAAUUUAGAUACUUAAUAUUACUCAUUCAGUUCAAUAGAUAAGGCUAUUAAAAAAAGCACAGUAGAAGCUUAGUAACAAGUACCAACAUCAGGGCCUAUGAUGGAGAGCCAUAGGGAGUGGCGGGGACAGUGACAAACUGGCAACCAGAUAGCUGUGUUAUCUGUAGAGUUUGGCUGCAUCUACAUAAAAUAACGUCAUGCUAUCUGGGGGCCAGAUGCUUACGUGGAUUAUUUUGGGACCACAUGGAAGGCCACAGAACACAUCCCUACCCUUCCAGAGGACGUAACUUUCACCUAGCUCCAAGGUAUUGUUACCACACAGACUUUAUGGAUCUUGCAUUAGUCCAUUUUCAUACUGCUAUGAAGAAAAACCCAAGACUGGGUAAUUCAUAAAGAAAAAGAGUUUAAUGGACUCACAGUUCCACAUGGCUGGGGAGGUCUCACAAUCAUGGCAGAAGGCAAAGGAGGAACAAAGUCAUGUCUUACGUGGCAGCCAGCUAGAGGGCAUGAGCAGGUGGACCGCCGUUUAUAAAACCAUCAGAUCUCAUGAGACUUAUUCACUAUCAUGAGAACAGCAUGGGAAAACCUACCCCCAUGGUUCAAUUAUCUCCCACCGGGUCCCUCCCACAACACAUGGGUAUUAUGGAGCUACAAUUCAAGAUGAGCCUUGAGUGGGGACACAGCCAAACCACAUCAGACCCAAUGCUGUGAGGUCUGCUGACUCUUCAAGAAAAGCUGAAAUUCCAGGUGAUUAUGUAAACUCUCCUGAUCCUCCAACAUUGCCAACUAAUUCUAAAUAUCUUUAGAACAUUGUGUGAGCCUCUAGUUUACAGGCCAAGCAAAACAUAUCUGCACUGAAGUGUGGUCCAGGAGUUGUUGAUGAUACCAGUGACCUAAAUCUACCUCAUGUUUUGGUCAAAGCAGAGGCCAAAGCAUCCCGGAUUCAGGUUCUGGCUCUGAAUUUCUUGAUUUCUUGAGCUUCUAUAUCCUCUUCUGUGAAAUGGGGAUAGUGAGCCUUAUCUUUCAUGUUUGCUCUAAAAAUUGAAUGAGAUGAUGCCUGUUGUGUGUCUAGCAUGGUGCUUGACAUAGGAUAUUAACUCACAAAAGUUAUCGCUCAGCCCUUCUCCUCUUGAAGGGACCAGGGCUCUGAAGCUGAUACACAUGAUUAAAACUGAAGAAAUGCUAUAGCACAGGUGUCUUCAUGUAAAUGCUGCCUACUCCAAGAGCCCCAGCCUGUAAAUCAGAGGGCUCUCUGGGACCUCAGAUUCACCAAGUUCAGAUGCAGCAGAAGCCACUUAGGCCCUGUCCUGCCUUUGCCCUCAGCUCCCAUGUUCCACCUUCCCAAUUUUCCAGCAUGUUGAAGAGCUAGAGGCUGGGCAGCAGGACAAUUUGUCCCAAGAUGUACACGGAGGUCUAGUAUGACCUCACUCUCCCUCAGAGCCAGCCACUUAUUUAAGCUUUUUCAGGACCUCACUCCUGCUUUCUCACAGAAGCUCCCUCUAGUUUUCUAUGUCUGAAAGUUCUUGAGGAUGACGGGGACUUUUCACAGGAAGGGGCACAUUAAGGGAGGUGACAGAGUGAAUUUAAUUCAACUACACUGCAAAAUGAUCUGCCGGUAGAAUUACUUUUCUUCCUUUUAAAUUUACCUGAUUUGAGUUUUUAAUUAUGAAAAGAUGGUAGAUGAAGUAAAUGUUUGUCUCCUUUCUUCCUAUGCCCCACUCGUAUUAUAG